AUCAGGAGUGAGCACAGGGCUCAGCUGGGUGGAGUUUCCUCCAGUUAGCAUCAGUCAGGACCACCUGAUGGUGUUCAGCUAGAGACAGAACGGGUCUGAAGGUUCCAGAACAGUUUUACUCAUAGGCCUGGCGUCUGGGCAGUGAUGGAUAUAUAUACAAUACACCUAGAGGAGACAAGAGGAGCUCCCAGGGUAAAAAGCAAAUGUUCUGUGAUUAGACGUUCGCCUGCUUAUUUCUGGUACCACUGACUUUUAAGUACGUGGGUGAGGACCCACAGACCCGCAACCCAGUUCACACUGGGGUGCCCUGUGACAAAAGGAAAACGGCCACCCAGACCUGCAGCCCGUGGCAGCCCCGACACGCUUUCCAGCUGACUCCCGUGAGCGGGAUCCUACUGUGUUCUAGCCAGCUGCUCUCGCUGCUGAAACGCAACAUUUGAAUCUCCAUGGAUACCUUAGAAGAUUCCCAGUGCCUCAGUCCAACCCCAGCAUGAAGAUCACGAUGCUUCAACUACACUGCAACGACUGGCCCCAGUACCCCACCCCGUGGCCUCUACAACUCCUUGCAGACCAACUGGAAGGACUAAGCACCAGUCGGGUUAGAGCCGGCAUUAGAGACAGGGUCUGAGGCACAGCACGGGGCCUGCUCUGGCCUGAAGCAGUGAUAGAAGACAGAACUCCCCGCAACAAAUGCUCAGGUGGCUUUUAGUAGAAUGUGCGUGUGUGUGUGUGUGUGUGUUGUGAAAGUGUGGGGGGAAGGGCUUGAUGGAAGCUUAGAGUAGAAACAAGGCCAGAAACUGGAAGUGGGGAUGGAGGCUUAAUGAGCCAAUACAGGAAAACCAGCCCAGCCUAAUCCCAAAGUGAUCAUUUGCACAAAGUAAUAAAAUUUCACAAAGUAAUAAACUCCACCAAAGACCCACGGCCCCCGCUCUUUAAGACGGCUGCCUGCCUGCAUCCAAGUGUCUUCUUCAAAGAAGUUUGCCAUGUCCAGUGAAGGACGCGUGUCCUCUUUCUCGGAGGAAGCCCAGAGCCCCGCCCACCGAACCCCACAACGUCUUCAACGACUUCACCGCUGGGUCUGGAAUGUGUCUUAUUUUCAUUGGCUUGUUCUAAACCAGAACACCUGCGCCCUGCCUCUGGCAAGGUACAGAAGUCCUGCUGGUAUCAGCCAGCCUGCCAGGCCCCCUUCGGUCGCUUCCCACCCACUUAGUUCAGUUUACCCGCCUGUGUGGCCUGGAGUAGGCUCCCCAGCCCCAUUUCCAGCUGUCCCCCACCUUCUUCUUUUGCAUCUCAUGCUCUCUUGGAUUGUUCUAAGACCUGAAGUGCAGUCUUUCCCAGAAGAGAAAUUAUGAGUCAGGUAGGUCACUGCAGGCCUCUGAGUGGUGCAGGCAUGUUGCAAAUGUCACGCUGGCCAGGCUCCAGCAGGCAGCUCCUCAUGGAAAUUCUUGCUGUUUUCAUAAGAUGCUGGAUUUUUCUUUUUCUUUUUUUUUUUUUUUAAACAAAAGAACAGUAUUGUCUGGGAAUGAGAAAAAGCUUGGCUCAUGUAAAAGAAGAAAGUCACAUCCGUGCCAGGCAGAGAGGAGUCUGCUGAUAAAACAAUGCAUUUUCUUCUCCGGUACAGGUGGUUAUGCUGUGACUGGACACAAUCACCCAAAUGGCCAUAGUCUGCCGGUCAGGCGGUUUUUUGGUUUUUGGUUUUUUUUUUGAGAUUUAUUUAUUGAUGCACAGAAGUGCGUACAG